GUCACUCCUACUUAGCUUCACUCCCUUAGCUUGCUUGGAAUGAUCACCACGCACUGAGAGUCUGAAAACCAACCAGCAAAUCAAGCUUUGUGGCCACCAGGCGCCUGCAAUGGCGGAGCUCGUGGUCAGCUCGGCCAAGGGCGCCGUGAGGUCGCUGCUGGGCCGCAUCAGCACCAUGCUCGUCAACGAGGCACAGCUGCUUGGCCGCGUCCGCCGCGACAUGCAGUUCAUCAAGGACGAGAUGGAGAUGAUGGACGCCUUCCUCCUGCUCCUCCUGCACCAGCAGGCCGGCACCCUCGACCACCACUACCACAACCAAUGCACGCCAUGGAUCAGGCAGGCGAUGGAGCUCGCCCGCGACUGCCAGGACUGCGUCGAGCAGUACGCGCAGUGCAUCGCAGCUGGGCCAUCCUCCAAGAGCCUCCUCCUCGGCCGCCUCCGCCGGGUGUCCCGGCUUGUCCGGAGCCUCCCCGAACGCCACAGGCUGGCCGUGCAGAUCCAAGACAUCAAGGUCCGGCUGGGCGAGGUGAGCCACCGGCGGAAGGCGUAUGACAUUUGUGCCAACCUCAACAGCUACCGUCCACCUGAGCAGGACAACGGCGGUGAACAGGAAGAUGAAGCUGCUUGGAGGCGUUAUUUGGCUUCUGCUGAACCACCGGCCGACCUGAAGAACACUGUGAACGAACUUGUCAGGUGGCUCAUGGAGGAUCAACCUGCAGGGCUUAGAAUCAUACCUGUGGUCGGAAUCUGCGUGGAUACAAGUGCGAUUAUUGCUGAGAGAGUCUACCAGCACUCCUCUGUCACCAGCCUGUUUGACUGCAAGGCUUGGAUCACUGUCCGUGAUUGUCAAUCUCAUCUUCAGAUUCUCAAAGAUAUACUAUGUCAACUUGUUCUCCCUCUGAACAAGUUCAGGAGUGAGAUGAUUGGCUGGAACGAGGAGCAGCUGGUGGAAAAGCUGCGCUGCUAUUUGCGAGGUAAAAUCUUCCUCAUUGUUCUUCACGAUGUCCGUGAUGAAUCAAUCUGGAGUCAUAUAAAGCUUGCCUUCCCAGAUGAUUGUUCUGCUGGUAGUGCCAUCAUAAUCACCACAGAUGAUGAUAAAGUGGCCGAGUCUUUCUCUGCGUAUAAAAUCUUCAACCCAGAUAGCCCCGGUUAUGUUCUCGAUUUCUUCCUUAGUAAAGCUAUAGCUCUGCUUAAACAUGAAAAUGAAAAGCAGCUAAGGAAAAUCCUACCGUGCAUGCUGAUCCAUCUUGAACCUGAAACCUUUUUUAUGAAGAUGCUCCUUCGGUACCUGUAUUAUGGGAGAUAUGCUACGUUACGACUGCGUGAUGCACUGCAGCAUACGUCAUCGCUGCAUGAUUAUUGGCCUAAGAAUAUGGUAUACUUAUGCUACAAUUAUUUGCCUGAUAAGUACCGGAGCUGCAUGCUGUAUCUGUCUAUUUUCCCACCUGGUUGCAGCAUCAGGAGGACCAGCUUAGUAAGACGAUGGAUUGUUGAAGGCCUCAUCACUGAUGAGCAAGAGAGGAGUGCACUAAAACAAGCUGAUCACUGUUCUGUCCACGCGACAUGGAUGCUUCAGGCAAGUUCAGGACCUGCAUAGUACCUGACUUGGUUCACGAUGCUCUUACUGAUCUGGUAGCCAGAGGAAGCAACAUUACUUCUGUGGACACAGUUUUGGCGCCACCAGAGUUGGCCCGUCAUCUUUCAAUCCGCUUCAGCACGAAGUUGCACAUGUCUCCAUCUGAACCAAUCAAUAGUAUUCUUUCCUUUCUCAAGUCCUUGCAUUCAUCAUCUCGGCUUGGGCUGCUUAAAGUGCUAGAUUUGGAUGGCUGCAAAGGUUUGAAGAGACGCCACCUGAAGAACAUAUGUGGCAUAUAUUUGCUCAAGUAUUUGAGCCUACGGGAUACAGAUGUCACCAGACUGCCCAAGGAAAUAGAGAAUCUGAUCUACUUGGAAACACUUGACAUCCGACAGACGAAGAUCAGUGUCUUCCCCAGGAAAUCUUUAGUGCUCCCUAUGCUCAAGCAUUUGUUCUCAGGCCAUACUGUCUAUCCAAGUGAAGACAUUUUCAGGCAGCAGGAAUCAUUCUCUGCCAUCCACAUUCCUCACCAAAUCGGGAGGAUGAAAAACAUGGAGAUAUUGUCCCAUGUCAAAGUUUCACAUGGUGGAAUGCAGUUGAUUGCUGUUGGCCAGCUACUGAAGCUGAGGAAGUUAGGUGUUGUCAUCCAUGACACAGAUAAAGAUGGUUUUGACAGUUUGCUUCAUGUAAUUGGCAAAUUGAACAAAUGCCUACGAUCUUUGUCAGUCCAGAUUAGAUCACCUUCUGCUGCUGAUGGAAGCAAUGGCUUUGACAUGAGCAUGAUGUACAGCACAUACCCGAGGCUUCUUGAGAGCCUGACCAUCUGUGGCAUCAAAAGUGGAUUGCCUCCCUGGAUUGAACAUCUCCACCAACUUACUAAGGUUACUCUGCAUAAUACCUCCCUGACAGAGAGUGCUAUCCAUGUCCUGGGCAAGCUCGUGGGCUUGUGCUAUCUUAGGCUCCGACACAGGUCAUACAUCCGAGGCGACCUCACCAUCUCUACAAGGGAAUUCAAAAACCUCAGGUUCCUUUUCAUUGAGGGCCCAGACAUUGUCAACAUCAGUUUCGAUGAGGGUGCAGCUCCUAGGCUUGAGAGGAUGGUCUGGCGUUUCACGAGAAUGGUUUCUCUUGUUGGGAUUGGUCACAUCCUAAGCAUCAGGGAGCUCGAGCUUGAAGGAGACAGUGACCUGGAGAAGAUUGGGGUGAUUCUCCGUGACAUCAAAGCACACCCCAAUGACCCCAGUCUGAAGCACAUUCCAGCAGCAGGGAACUAAUCAUGCACAAGGACUGGUGCCUACGGAUGAAGCAAACUGAAAAAACUGCCGUGGCUUAGAUCCAUUAUGUGCCUGGACAAACAAGGAUGAUUGACAUUACUAUUUCUUUCCCACUUUGAGCUGCUUGUUGAUGCUGCUGCUCCUACUACUUCUGAAGCACUUCUACUGUUAGUAUGGAAUAAAGAUGCUGAAGGGGGCCCUUCUUCCUCUUCCAUGCAUGGAUUGUUGGCUUUGUUGUAUUGUAGCACCAAUAUUUAGUAUGCUUGUUUGUUUGUCUCCUUUCCCAACAGUCAUGGGUUUUCCUGUACCAUUCAUUAGUAAGGCUUUUGAAAGAAUUCCUGUGUUUAUCUUAUCUUCCUUGUACAAGAAAAACUUGGUGUUAUUGCCUAAAGCUUACUCUUCCUCCCUUGUUUCUGUACACAGAUAUGUUUCUCACUUGGCACCCAAUAAUUACCACUGUUGUCAAUAAUCCUUUAACAAGUAAACACCGGCCUAGAAGCAUCAUCCCUCCAAAUCCAAGCCUCUUUUAGCUAGCAACGAAAAAAAAAUGCAGCUAGCUUUCUGACAGAAAUUCAGAAUCAGCAGACAUGUGAGAUGAAGAUAAAAAGGGGGAAAUGGUACGAGUCCUACAUGUUACAGAGAAGUGCCAAGGUAUUGCUGCGAGACUUUUCAUCAAACCGAACAAAAGGUAUUCAGACAUAAGCACUGUAAAAAUACUGAGAAGUGAUUCUUCUACAUGGAAUCGCCAAAAAAAAAAAAGAAGAGGUGGGUGAAUUUUACCUAGGGCUGAUUCUCUUCCCUCUCCGGUGAGAGGUUGGGCUAUGUGGGCCAAAACCGACUGCAGCUCAUGGCCCAGUAAAAUGCACCGCGAUGGCCCAAAUACUUAGCUGAGUUGCUCGCUUCUUCUGAAUUCUGAUAGUAUGUGACUCAGUAAACACACGCUCCAAUAUG